rnacentral:rRNA from 1 species
GCCCUGGCUGGGCGGUCUGCCUCACGGUAUGUACUGUCCGGCUGGGGCUUACCUUCUGGUGAGCCCGCAUGUUGUUCGCUCGGUGUGCGGGGGAACCAGGACAUUUACUUUGAGAAAAUUAGAGUGUUCAAAGCAGGCAAAUGCCCGAAUACAUUAGCAUGGAAUAAUGGAAUAGGACGU